GCCAGAGUGGACGUUUUCAAAAACUCUCUCUCACAGCAGUAAAUUUACAGUGUUUGCACUAACUGUUAUUAAAACCAAAUCCAUAUCUUGGCAACAGGAAUCCAUCGCUCAGUAACAGCUGGAAUGACAGUGUGCCCGACAGCUGGGCUGAGCUGUAUCUUGGCCAUGAUGCACAUCAAGGGGGAAGGUCAAGGACUUCAGACUAAGCCCUGGGGGCCUCCCCGCCAGGGCUGUCUAAGCCAGGAGUCCCCAGGGCACACAUAGUCUCCUGUCUGUAUCUUGGGUCUGGGAGCUGCUUCUAGCUCCUUCUCUUGUCUGGGAACUACCCUCAGUGUAGGCCUUUGAGGCAUUCAGGCUUUCCCUACUCCCCCUCUUUCCUCCAUGAGUCACUCCAGCUCUGGAGGAGUUGAAAACAGGAACAGACCCUAUGGUAGAGCCAGAGGGGAAACAACUACAGGCAAAGUUCAUCAGGGAUGUGGGGAGGCCAACUGGACUGCAGCAUGAUCUUCUCUGCACACACCCACUGCCACUGACAACCUGGAUGAAGAAGCAGAGUGGUUCACUACAGGAAGUGGACCAAUUAGAAUCUUGCAUCAGGAAUUCCUGAAAGUCUAGAACACAGAUCUGUGUUGAAAUGCUACAUGUGGAAGAGGUCCCAGCUUGUUUGGAGUGACUCUUGCCCAGAUGAUUUCAUCAAGGGACUUCUGCGUG
rnacentral:lncRNA from 1 species